UUUGGCCACCGGAAGCCUGCCGCUGUGUCACUCGAGAGCCACACUCAGCUUUGGACGGACACAUGCACCCCUCUGCCAGUCCCCUAUUGCCUCUGGCCUGAGUCUCCACGUCCAUCAAAGUGACCAUAACCUGGCAGCUUGAUUUCCGCUAUACCAUACAGACUCCAAGUGCAUCUGAAGACGUUGAGUGGUACCACAGGGGCAGUGUCCUGUGAUGGUCAGAGAGAGGAAAUGCUGGAUGUUUGCUACACUCUCCUUUUUCCACCUCCCAUGCUUCUCACCUAGGCACUUCUCAAAAGUAAGAAGCCGACACAGACUCCGGUACAGCAAGCAUAUUUAUUUACUGUGAAACACACUAUUCACCACCCAGUGCGAUGGAAAUUCAAAUGCGUAGCAGCAGCUGCUGGGGAUCAAGGGAGUCCUACACUUUCUCUUGAGAGUUUUGGCUAAUGAGAGUUUACCAACUAGCGACACACUUGCCAGUCCCCAGAGGCUGAAGGGCUGUGCUCAUCCCCAGAAUUGGCAUAAUACCAUUGCAAGCCCCCCACUGCAACCUGCUAACAUGUCUCAUCCCUGCUCUUGAGAGACUGUCACCCCCCCUUAGGGGGAAGUGGGACGCUCCCCACAGCUCAUUCACUCCUUUGGUGGCUCAUGUGAGGCUGCUAAGUUCUUCCAAACUAGUGACUUUGACACCUUACAGAGACCUGAUUUUCAGAGGGCAGGAGCUCAGCACUUCCUGACAAUCAGGCCACUUUAUGGCAUCUCCGGUGGGGCACCUAAAACCCCCGAGUUCCUUUUGGAGGCCUUGGCCAAGUCUGUCCAUCAGGGUCCAGCUGUGGUGUCAAUUCUAGCAGCGAGCAGGAGAGUUCUCAGUUCAAGCCCAGUUUCUCUCUCCCACACACAUUCUCAGGCAUCUAUUCCUAAACAUUCUCCUACUCGCUGGCUCUGCUAUGAGAUAGGGUCUUUGGGGCCGAGCUCAGGGGAGAAGGUCUCAGGUCAUUCCUUAACGAACAAAUACAUUAUUUUGCUAAGAAAACAGAUUAUUUCUCCUCUAGGUGAAGCCAGAUAUCACUGUGAGCGCCUCUCUUUGGUGAGAGACUGAACGCUG